GCAAACUUGGUCAUUUAGAGGAAGUAAAAGUCGUAACAAGGUCUCCGUUGGUGAACCAGCGGAGGGAUCAUUACCGAGUUUACAACUCCCAAACCCCUGUGAACAUACCUAUUGUUGCUUCGGCGGACACGCCCCGGCGCCCCCGUGCCCGGAACCAGGCGCCCGCCGGAGGACCACAAACCAUGUCUUACUAUAGUGGUAUCAUCUGAGUGGCACAAACAAAUAAAUCAAAACUUUCAACAACGGAUCUCUUGGUUCUGGCAUCGAUGAAGAACGCAGC
rnacentral:misc_RNA from 1 species